rnacentral:rRNA from 1 species
UAGGGAAUUUUCCACAAUGGGCGAGAGCCUGAUGGAGCAACGCCGCGUGCAGGAUUAAGGCCUUCGGGUUGUAAACUGCUUUUAUCUGUGACGAAUAUGACGGUAGCAGAGGAAUAAGGGUCGGCUAACUACGUGCCAGCAGCCGCGGUCAUACGUAGGACCCAAGCGUUAUCCGGAUUUACUGGGCGUAAAGAGUUGCGUAGGUGGCAAAGUAAGCAAAUAGUGAAAUCGUGUGGCUCAACCAUGCAUCCAUUAUUUGAACUGCUUAGCUUGAGAGCGAGAGAGGUAGAUGGAAUUCCCAGUGUAGGAGUGAAAUCCGUAGAUAUUGGGAGGAACACCGAUGGCGUAGGCAGUCUACUGGCUCGUUUCUGACACUAAGGCACGAAAGCGUGGGGAGCAAACGGGAUUAGAUACCCGUGUAGUCC